rnacentral:snRNA from 1 species
UUAAAGAGGGGGCAGGGGGAUCCUUACCUGGUUUUCUCAGGGCAAGGCUCAUCCAUUGCACUCUGGAUGUGCUGACUCCUACAAUUUCCCCAAAUGUGGGAAACUCAACUGCAUGAUUUGUGGUACUGGGAGACCGCAUUCACACUCUCCCC